rnacentral:rRNA from 1 species
UACGGAGGGGGCAAGCGUUAUUCGGAAUUACUGGGCGUAAAGCGUGCGCAGGCGGUUUUGUAAGCCAGAUGUGAAAUCCCCGGGCUUAACCUGGGAAUGGCAUUUGGGACUGCAAGGCUGGAGUGCGGCAGAGGAGACUGGAAUUCCUGGUGUAGCAGUGAAAUGCGUAGAUAUCAGGAGGAACACCGAUGGCGAAGGCAGGUCUCUGGGCUGACACUGACGCUCAUGCAUGAAAGCGUGGGGAGCAAACAGG